CUGCUUUUGUUUUAAUCUCUCUACCGUACGAAGCAAUCCCCAUCCAAUCUCUCUCCAUCUUCGUUACUUCUCUUCCUCAACCGAAGCCCACACACUCCGCUCACGCCAACCUCGAGAUCUUCAAUCAAGUUGCUUCUCUCUCGCGCUGCCACCGAAGACCCAAAGUCUAGCAUCUUCGUUCGUGCCUUGCCAACAGCCACGAAGACCUGCAGCCACGCCAACCAGUUGCUUCCUCGUCCAUGUGAAUUUCCCCGACGCCACGAAGACAGGAGCUGUUGCCGCGCCAGCACGCCCACCGACCCACUCAGCUUCUCCACGCAUCCAAGCUCGGCUUCUUCAGUCAACAACAACAACAAGCGAAGCCUUUGGUUGACCGAGCAGCCUUGCCUUGCUGCCACUUGGCAGCGUCUGCUCUUUGUUCGGUCAACAAAGCCGAGUUGAAGACCACCGAGCGAAGCUGCUUCUCCUCUUCGCCACGCCAAUUGAAGCCAGCGAAGUCUGCAGCAGUCAGUCCGCCCAUUUCUCCUCUUGCGUGUGUCUUCGGUUAGCUGAAGUCCAUGCGCCCAGCAACCGAGUCAACCGAAGUCGCACGCCAGCGAUGCCUAGUCCACCGAUCCUUCAGCAAGCCCACGCAAACCAGCAGCCAGCUCAGCCCACCUUCAGGCAAUUUCGGCCCAGCAAAGAGGUCAAGCCAGCCCAAGAAGCCAGUCCAGCUCAGCCCAUAUUCACAACAUCAGUUUGGCCCAAGUUCAAGCCUAGUUCAGUUGUUUUAGUCUUGAAGCCCAGGUCAACUCAGCCCCAAGAAUUUGAGCAGGCCCAAGCCCAAAGUUUCUGCGAGCUUGCUAGGUUUUAGGCCCAGCCCGAGAGUUCGUCGUUGCGUCGCCGUCGUGGUGAUUCGGUCUCUGCUUUUAUCAAGUGAGUUUUACUCACUAAUACUUUAUUAGUUUGCUAAUUAUGCUUAGGGUUGGUUAGAUUUAAUUAAGUGCAAUUAUGUGGUUAGAUUAGGUUAGAACAAUUAAAUUAGUGACUUAAUGAUGCAUGUUA
rnacentral:lncRNA from 1 species